GACGAACGCUGGCGGCGUGCCUAAUACAUGCAAGUCGAGCGGACGGAUGGGAGCUUGCUCCCAGACCGUCAGCGGCGGACGGGUGAGUAACACGUGGGCAACCUGCCUGUAAGACUGGGAUAACUCCGGGAAACCGGGGCUAAUACCGGAUAACUCUUUCCCUCACAUGAGGGAAAGCUGAAAGAUGGCAUCUCGCUAUCACUUACAGACGGGCCCGCGGCGCAUUAGCUAGUUGGUGAGGUAACGGCUCACCAAGGCGACGAUGCGUAGCCGACCUGAGAGGGUGAUCGGCCACACUGGGACUGAGACACGGCCCAGACUCCUACGGGAGGCAGCAGUAGGGAAUCUUCCGCAAUGGACGAAAGUCUGACGGAGCAACGCCGCGUGAGUGAUGAAGGUUUUCGGAUCGUAAAACUCUGUUGUCAGGGAAGAACAAGUACCGGAGUAACUGCCGGUACCUUGACGGUACCUGACCAGAAAGCCACGGCUAACUACGUG
rnacentral:rRNA from 1 species